AUUGAACGCUGGCGGCAGGCCUAACACAUGCAAGUCGAGCGGCAGCGGAAAAGUAGCUUGCUACUUUUGCCGGCGAGCGGCGGACGGGUGAGUAAUGCCUGGGAAAUUGCCCAGUCGAGGGGGAUAACAGUUGGAAACGACUGCUAAUACCGCAUACGCCCUACGGGGGAAAGCAGGGGACCUUCGGGCCUUGCGCGAUUGGAUAUGCCCAGGUGGGAUUAGCUAGUUGGUGAGGUAAUGGCUCACCAAGGCGACGAUCCCUAGCUGGUCUGAGAGGAUGAUCAGCCACACUGGAACUGAGACACGGUCCAGACUCCUACGGGAGGCAGCAGUGGGGAAUACUGCACAAUGGGGGAAACCCUGAUGCAGCCAUGCCGCGUGUGUGAAGAAGGCCUUCGGGUUGUAAAGCACUUUCAGCGAGGAGGAAAGGUUGAUGCCUAAUACGUAUCAACUGUGACGUUACUCGCAGAAGAAGCACCGGCUAACUCCGUGCCAGCAGCCGCCGUAAGAC
rnacentral:rRNA from 1 species